CACGUAGGGGGCAAGCGUUGUCCGGAUUUAUUGGGCGUAAAGAGCUCGUAGGCGGCUCAGUAAGUCAGGUGUGAAACCUCCAGGCUCAACCUGGAGACGCCACCUGAUACUGCUGUGGCUAGAGUCCGGUAGGGGAGCGUGGAAUUCCUGGUGUAGCGGUGAAAUGCGCAGAUAUCAGGAGGAGCACCAGCGGCGAAGGCGGCGCUCUGGGCCGGAACUGACGCUGAGGAGCGAAAGCGUGGGUAGCAAACAGG
rnacentral:rRNA from 1 species